CUGCCCUGGCAGGUGCACUGACGCUCAUGCAAACAUGAGACGACAUCGCACCUUUAUGCUGUGCCACUGUGAGCUGCGGGAACAUGAUGAAGAGACACACAUGUAAGGCAUUUAGGGAAGCAGGGGGAGCCACACCCCUAUGUUCCCUAUAGGAUUCCAGCCACUCACAGCAGGACUACAGUCACACUCCAGCCUCCCCUAGGAGCCAUCUAAACAACACUGAGCCACUUCCUGACAGAUUAUACACAGCACAUUAAUGAUGCCUGGAGGAAACCACCAACAACAACAGAGCACCUUUUAACAAGCCGCUCAUCUGGCUCACACCCUCAUCUAGCCUUUUUCCUUUAAAAACAACACGGCUACAAUCAAACCAGACAGACAAAAGAAGCUGUGGGAGAUACAGGGACUCAGUGUGUCCCCAGAACAGUCGCUCACUGGAUGGCAGAGCGGGAGAAUUGGCAGGGAGGGUGAUGUAGAAAUGAAAAAAGCACUUUAGAUUUCAAAGGGGAAGCGCACCCCUCCUUCUCCCCUUAGCAGAGACAUGAUCAAAGGUACUGUUGUUCUAUGGGCGCUCAAAGCCAGGCUCUUAUCGUUGAAUCUUGUUCAAAUAAAAUGGUUUUUGUUGUUGUUA